rnacentral:lncRNA from 1 species
ACCUAUGUUGCCACAGUACAGCAUUGUGUCAUCUCAUGACAUUAUACGUAGUUUUGCAACAAACUAGAAUACUUCCUUAGCUACCUCAUAAGCAACAACAUACUCGGCUUCUAAAAUCUUCAAUGAUCGAUUGUUUGAAAUUCUUUUAAUUUAUCAAAUCCCAUUGCUUAAGAAAAUACAUCCUAAUGUAAACCCUCUACCAU